AUGAAUGGCUUCGCCGUAAACCCCUGUCAUUUGCGAACAAAUUGACUCACUUAACACGUGUGUCAUUGAUUGUAGCGGAAGAGGAAGGGACGGCUAACUCUGUGCCAGCAGCCGCGGUAAUACAGAGGUCCCAAGCGUUGUUCGGAUUUACUGGGCGUAAAGGGUGCGUAGGCGGUUGUUUAAGUCUGACGUGAAAUCUCCGGGCUCAACCCGGAAACUGCGUUGGAAACUAUUCAACUAGAGGAAUGGAGGGGAGACUGGAAUACUUGGUGUAGCAGUGAAAUGCGUAGAUAUCAAGUGGAACACCAGUGGCGAAGGCGAGUCUCUGGACAUUUCCUGACGCUGAGGCACGAAAGCCAGGGGAGCAAACGGGAUUAGAUACCCCGGUAGUCCUGGCCCUAAACGGUGCGCGUUUGCUGUGAGUGGAAUCGACCCCGCUCGUGGCGAAGUUAACACGUUAAACGCGCCGCCUGGGAAGUACGGCCGCAAGGUUAAAACUCAAAGAAAUUGACGGGGGCCUGCACAAGCGGUG
rnacentral:rRNA from 1 species